AAGCUCCAGACAGCAACCUGCAGCCGGCCUUGCUCAGGACCGCCAUCCCUGGCGGGGGCAUCGCAGAAAUCAUGCUGGGUGUCCUGAUUGGUGUGGCGCUCACAGGGACAGCCGGCUACUUUGUCGGGGUCAUGAGGUCCCAGUCCAGGAAUCCUGUGGCGUUCAGCUCAGCAAGAGGGGUGGAGAUAUCAACCUCAUUGUAACCGCCUUUUGACACCUACGCAAGGAUGCCAAGAUCUUCCAAAGCCGAAAGGAGAAACUGAGGCAUGCUUCGGCAGCCAGCUGUUUUAACAGAUUUGAGAUUAUUUGCAUAGGAGAGGAUUGUAAUCCCUCUCCCGUCUCUUUCCUUUUUUAAGAAAAUACUUGAGUAAGAGGCUUGCUGACAAAUAAGACUUGCCUUGUACCACAGCCUUUUUUCCACCAGUGAAGACGUGUUCUGGAGAACAGCCCCUUCCAUGAUGCAUUCUUUACAUCUGUGUGUAACCCUGUAGAAACCAUGGCUUGUGCGGCUCAGUCCCAGAGUGGAACUGCAUUAAAAAAUUCAUGAU